AACGCAACUUGCACUCAUUGGUAUUCCAAUGAGUACGCCUGUUUCAGUAUCAAAAACACCCCACAUUCCCAACUUUUUUUGUUGUUGAAUGGACUUGAGAGUUUUUACGGUCGCUUCUGUGGCUGUACUCUUUAAAAUCAUAAGGCCUGAACUUGUUUAGUCUGCCUGAACUUUUUUUUAAUAUAAAAGAAAGCUCUUGUCAAAAUAAACUCUGUAUGGGGGGCCUCCCAAAUAAUACAUUUCUUAAAUUUGAUCUGAAAUCAGGCGGGAUUACCCGCUGAACUUAA
rnacentral:misc_RNA from 3 species